rnacentral:lncRNA from 1 species
CCGGUGUGUGGUGCCCAGGUGGUGGGGGAGCUUGGCGGGUCCUCUGCUGAGCAUCUGAUGAUGAUCUACAAUAUGACUAAUGGUCUUCCAGAAGAUACCACCACCUCCUCUACCUUUUUUUUUUGUUGAAAACAAACUUCAUUUAAAAACCAAGCAAUUACAAAACCGGUUAACAAAAAAAAAAAAAAAAAAAAGUCCUCAUCCCUCCACAAACCUGAGUCGGAAACUUUUGCGUAGCAACAGGGAAGUUGAUUUUACAUAAUAGAAUAAUGGGAACUGCUUCCUGUGUUCAGUACAGUUAGCUUCAGGUCGGAAGGAGAGCACGAGAUUUCCCUUGAUUCAGUAUGUUAAAAUGCAAGCGAGUUUGUACCGUUUGUCUUCUAUUGGCCUUUGCUCUCUGGAUUGCAUGCAAAGGCAAAAGUUUUAAAGAUACCGGACAGGACGUACAGCCUAUGAUGCUCAGGGGGCAAGACACAGGACGCGCUAGUGGAACCGAUAAUGAGCAGAGCAUCGUGGGGAAAUCUGACCCUGCAGAAGCAUCUUCCCCCAGUUUAGGCGCCUGCUAUGAAGUCUUGAACAUGCCAGACAUCUCCUCUCUGAGAACCAUUUGGUGUGAUGAUAAAUUGUUGAACAACGAUUCACACGAUUGUACAGAUGAAAAUGUACCAGUGUGUCUCUUGCAAAAGAAGAUUCUUCGCAUCCGGAACACAUGCACAGGUCUACAAAUAGAAGGAGUCGAUUCUAACAAUGUGAUGCAACCAUUUCACAUUGAAAAGAUCUCAUGUCCUGAACUUGAAAACAAGAGCAUGGUGAACAACAGCAACACUGGAACACAAGAUCAAGACAACUCUAACCCUAACCUCUUGUACAUUUUGAUACCUUUGAUACUGGUCAUUGUUAUUGGGAUUGCAGUUGGGAUCUGCAGGAAGCGUCAUUGCAGAAGACCAGAACCCUCUGGAGAACCCAUGGAAAUGCAGGGUUUGCAGAGAGCAGUAUCAUGAGUUUGCUGGUGCAAUUCAGAACUUUCUUUGAAUACAGCAGCAACAUCAAAUUGAUCCACUAGCACGAGUUUUUAAAGUGUAAAGAUGCUGAAAGAUGCUGAAAAAGUGAUGUAUGUAUUUUAUUCCAGCCACUUUGAAUAUUGCAUCCCCUUCUACAAUAAAUA